rnacentral:rRNA from 1 species
AGUGAACGCUGGCGGUAGGCCUAACACAUGCAAGUCGAACGGCAGCACAGUAAGAGCUUGCUCUUACGGGUGGCGAGUGGCGGACGGGUGAGGAAUACAUCGGCAUCUACUUUUUCGUGGGGGAUAACGUAGGGAAACUUACGCUAAUAGCGCAUACGUCCUACGGGUUAAAGCAGUAGAUCUUCGCACCUUUCGCGUUUGUAUUAGCCGAUGUCGGAUUAGCUAGUUGGCGGGGUAAAGGCCCACCAAGGCGACGAUGCGUAGCUGAUCUGAGAGGAUGAUCGGCCACACUGGAACUGAGACACGGUCCAGACUCCUACGGGAGGCAGCAGUGGGGAAUAUUCGACAAUGGGCGAAAGCCUGAUCCAGCAAUACCGCGUGGGUGAAGAAGGCCUUCGGGUUGUAAAGCCCUUUUGUUAGGAAAGAAAAGCAGCAGGUUAAUACACCGCUGUUCUGACGGUACCCAAAGAAUAAGCACCGGCUAACUUCGUG